GAUGAACGCUGGCGGCGUGCCUAAUACAUGCAAGUCGAGCGAACGGACGAGAAGCUUGCUUUUCUGAUGUUAGCGGCGGACGGGUGAGUAACACGUGGAUAACCUACCUAUAAGACUGGGAUAACUUCGGGAAACCGGAGCUAAUACCGGAUAAUAUUUUGAACCGCAUGGUUCAAAAGUGAAAGACGGUCUUGCUGUCACUUAUAGAUGGAUCCGCGCUGCAUUAGCUAGUUGGUAAGGUAACGGCUUACCAAGGCAACGAUGCAUAGCCGACCUGAGAGGGUGAUCGGCCACACUGGGACUGAGACACGGUCCAGACUCCUACGGGAGGCAGCAGUAGGGAAUCUUCCGCAAUGGGCGAAAGCCUGACGGAGCAACGCCGCGUGAGUGAUGAAGGUCUUCGGAUCGUAAAACUCUGUUAUUAGGGAAGAACAUAUGUGUAAGUAACUGUGCACAUCUUGACGGUACCUAAUCAGAAAGCCACGGCUAACUACGUG
rnacentral:rRNA from 1 species